UAUGUCCUUGGUGGACUUGGUGGACGGGAUCGGAGAGGAUCCCUUUCCCAUUUUUUUGUCCAUUUAAAUUAAGUUCAUUCAUUCAAUUUCAUCCCUAAUAAGUACUAAUUUCAUCCUAAUAUAAUAGUAUGAUGAAAUUAGCACUUUUAAAUGAACUUAGGGAUUUAUUUUGGGUACUAAAAUUUUAAAUCAAAUUUACAAAUUAAACGAUGUAUCACUAAUAGGAAUAAGUACGUUAAUCAACACUUAAAUAAUAAUUCAAUUAUCAACAACCACAUCAUUUGGUUUACAAAAUAUGGUUUAAAAUUUUGCUUUCUACUGUUACAUCAUUACCAUUAUUUUAUUGAAAAUAUAUUUAGGACUUAUUUUUCACUCAUGUAAUAAUUCAAAGACUAAAAAAUAGACAUAUCGCACCAAAUCAUAAUAUCUCAAUAGGAUUUUAAUCAAAUUGAUUCCCAUAGUUUGGUCAAGCAAAUAUGACCUCGUUUGGGUGAAUUUCAAUGCUUUUACUAGAUCGGAUGCUUUAAACCUUAAAAAGGGUAUAAGAUUAACCCAUUUUGUCAAUCACAGAUGCUUGUGCUUCCCAAUCAAAUUUUAGUAAUUGGUACUUAAUUUCGUGGGACUUGAAAGCCGAAAAUCUUCUUUUGGGGUUAGAUGGAUUGUGGAAGUUGUGUGAUUUUGGAAGCAGCUCCACCAGUCACAAGCACAGGGCACUCCGAGAAGCCUGAAGAAAUAAGUAGAGUAUUCUAAAAAGCACACAAUACCUGUCUAUAGAGGCCCCAUGGUUGAACAUAAAACUUUAUUUUCCAACUCGAAUGCGUGAUCUUCGGAGAAAAUAAGCUGUAUUUUUACUUAUUUAUGUUUGAUGAGGAGUGUAGGAAGCCUUGGUCCUUUUUCUUUGUGCUUGCCUUGUGUUUUUUAUUAGAGCAUGUCAUUGUCCAUAGAAAAUUCAGACUUGGAAUUCUCUAACAAUCCACCGCCGAUUGAUUGCGUCCAAUCCAAGAUAUCUACCUACAAUUUUUCAAAGCUAAUUCAAAAUAAAUAAGAUUGAUUGACUCAAACACGUUAGGCAGCACUUUUGUUAAUUCUAAAAUUACGCCAAUGAUAACCGGUAAUGAUUUGGUGUUAACUGAAAAUAAGAAUAUCGCUUGUAUUGAAAGGAGACAAAUAAUACAAUCAAAUUCAAUAGACAAAUAACAGAAUUAAGGAAGCAAAAAAUGAAAUGAAUAAACAAAGCACCGUAAAUAUGACUAACACCGCAAGUAACGAUGGAGAUAAAUCAACAUGUGUAUAUAACAAAUUGUUUGUCUAACAAGAGGAUGGAAAGCGUUAAUAAU
rnacentral:lncRNA from 1 species